rnacentral:lncRNA from 1 species
GGCGCGGUAAAUGGCGCUCUGAGUACUUUCUGUCUCAGUCCGGCUGGCCGCUCACGCGUCGGGCCCCCAUUUACUCUCGUUACUGAGGAGACACGGCUCCAGUUUUGACCCGACUACGGUUGUUUUCUUCGUGUGUACCGCGAAAUGCUGAUGACGUCCGGUUCCGCGCAGUUUUUUUCCUAUUUCGUUUCCAACCACAGUUGUGCGGUUCACAGAUUUUUCCCUUGGGAUGUGUUUUCCAUACCUCCAAGCCCACUCUCAGAGCCUUGGGGCCCCAUAAAACUUCAUGCGCAGCUGCUUUCUGGUAUUUGCAGACCUGGAAGGCUUCUCGUAUUCUUAAUUUGGGGAAGAGAGACAUAGGUUUCCUUGUACAACGGGAUGAGGAUUUAAGAGCAGAACGACACUGAUAUUUUAAAGGCGAGGGUAUUUAGAUUUGUGGAGCUGAAACUUGCCUGAAAAGGGAGACAAAAUUUGGAAGUUUGUUGUGUGCAGUUUCUGCCCCUUACCCCCGCCCUUCACUUUUAAACUGCGCAUAUAUCAACAAUAGUUACGGUUGUUGCAGCAGUCUAAAUUUGAUUAUCAGAAUUGACCCUAGGCAUGAAUUUUUUUUUAAAUAUACCAAUGUCGUGUUAUAUACACUUAUACCAUUAUGUCCAGACUUCUCUUAAGCAUAGUUCGUGGUGGGCAGUUUUGUGGUCAUUUAGGGAUGAACUUGGGUAGGGAAAGCUGAGCAUACAUAAUUUAUUUUAGGAAUGCACCAGUUCUGCCAACAUUUAUCAGAAGUCACGUUUUUAAAAAGCUAUUCUGGAACUGAAGAUGUCAUUGGUUUAUAAGAGGAAAAUGGAAGCCAAAAGCUUACACCUCAUGCUCUAUCUUUAAAAAUUAAGGUGGCAGACACAAUGAGUAGAAGGCUUUUAUGUUACCAGAAUGAAGGCUUAAAAUCUGUCAUUUUAUUGACUCGGCUUUCUUUUUAGAAAUUUCUUUAAGAUAUAAAAGCAAUGUGGAAUAUCACUCUUUCACACUCUUAAAAUAGAUUACGUUCUCUGGAACUUCUCUAAUCUGAAAUGUGUUCAAAAAGGAAAAAGAUCUUUAAAAUACGCCAGUUAGUCUAUGGUAUAAUAUUAAACACUAUUCAUCACUAGAGAAGUUAUGGUGGUAUACCCUCCCCUUUCUCAGAUGUCCACCUUAAUGCCAGAAAUGAGCGGAGUUUCCCUUUGUUGUGCAAAAUGACUGUGUCCUUGAGGGAUGUUUGGAUGCUCUUGGUAAACCGGAAUCAGCCAGAAGCAUAUCCGGUGUUAGCCUUGUUGUGUCAUCAACAUUACAACAGUGAGGAAACCCACAUAUUCCAAUGAAAGAGGAAAACUUAAAGAAGAAGUUUCCAGUGUAUUUUCUUUGAGAUAUAUUUAUUCCUAUGACCUCAGAAGAUCAGCUUUUACCGUCCAAGGUUCACUUUGCCUAAAAGCUGAUUGUUCCUGUGGAAACAGUAGCAUCGGAUGACCCUACAAACAAAGCAUUAUGACAUCAUCAGAGCCAACAACCUGGCAUGACAGAUACUAAUAAGGAAAAAAGAGGUUACAAGAAUUCUGACACUCAUCACAGUGGAUCCAAUAUCUGGUCCCUUGGGUUUCAUAUAUGUUAGAAGUAUCUUCUCAGGAGGGAAAAGUCAAUGCCAGUCAUAUCCUUUCUAGCUAUUAGAAAUGUCCAUCAGCUUACGAGGAGAUUCUCCCUCAUCUCACAAACUACCUGCAUCUCCACUUCCCUGGAAGAAAAAAAAAAUCUGGACAUACCCAAGCUGUGUAUGUGCCUGAGAUCUUCCCUUCCAAGUCUCCUAGGGGCUGAUCUCAGCAGAGAAAUGGAGACAGUUCAGUCACCAACAGUUUGUUACUGGAUUUUGGAAAAGGUACCAAAGUAAGAAUCCAAGGCUUGUAUUCUUAUCUUAGCUCUGUGAUUAACAAGCUUAGGUAAGGCUUCUAAUCUUUCUGGGUUUCUUUCCUUAUCAAUAAAAUGCGCAAGUCAGACUGCAUAAUCUUUAUGGUUUCUUCCAAAUUUCAAAUUCCAUGCAUCUAUUAAAGAGAAUCAAAAUUGUGCAUGAUUUGUCUAAAAUACCAUGUUAAAAAGUCUAAGAUAAAAUGAAAUGGGAAUUACAUACCAUUUUGAGUUUAAAAAUCACUUUUGUAAAUAUAUUAAGGAAUGAACUUGGUUUUAUUGCAAUUUAUGUAGAAAUACUGGGAAGUAGAGGGGGCUUUGAUUAACAAUUUUAAAAUGCUGAUGCAAUCCAGUCGAAAUAUAGAUGGGAUUUCAUAAAGUAGCAAAAAUUCUAUAUUCAUAAUUCAGAGUGAUAACAAAUGCAUAUCUAUAAAGCAAAAGUGUGUUUUUAAAAGUAAUUUUAAAUCCCAGUCAUUUCAUUUAAGUCUUCUAAUAAAGGAUGAAG